UAGACGGAGAACUUCAGGAACACCGCUAAUAAACGGAGCUAGUUAAGCUACAGCGGAGCUACGCAGUUCCCUCCGGUACAGAACUCCGAGAGUGACCCUAUAAUGCGCCGUCGUAGAUUUCAGACCUGCGAUCAAAGCUGCAGAGAAAGAUUUUACACUGGAGCCCAAAACUCGAUGGUCAUGAAGGCGAGAGGAGGAACGACGGCAGCAACGAAUAAAAUCAAAUGUUUGGUAAAACGUU